rnacentral:lncRNA from 1 species
ACAUGGGGCUGAAGGCACAGACAGCACCCUGCUUGUGACUUCACUGGCCCAACUCAUCCUGGACCCCUUGAGCAAGACCAUGGCUGGAUUCCAGGAACUGGUGGAGUGGAAGUGGAUCCAGGAAAAUGCCGUGUGAAGGGAGGACUCAGAUGCACUCCCUGUGGUCUGGGCUCAACCAGCCAAAAGAGCAACAAAGACUCCAGAACCCACUCUACCUCCUCAAUCCCUUGGCCAUCUGUGGAGCCCCAGAGCCUGCGGCUGUGGCAAGGCCUGUUUCUGCGCUGGACCUGCUCACCUGAGCCUGCAGAAGCUGCAUGGGGGAAGAGUGUGGCAAAUAGUGACAGGAAGGGAGAAGACAGAAGCCUCUCAGCCAACUGCUUCAGCCGAGCCCCUAUUCUAAGCACUGGCUCCUUGGAUAGCAGCUGAGAUGUUCCUGAAACCUCUGCAGGCCCCUUAGGACCUUUACACCUUGGAUGAGGGUGCCUGCAACCCAGGUUAGCCAAAAGUACUGAGGGUCUUAAGUUUGAAGUGUCCAAAGUAUAGGGAGGUCUCAAUAAUAAAA